rnacentral:rRNA from 1 species
UACGUAGGUGGCAAGCGUUGUCCGGAUUUACUGGGCGUAAAGAGCGCGCAGGCGGUCGCUCAAGUCGCGUGUGAAAGCCCCCGGCUCAACUGGGGAGGGUCACGCGAUACUGAUCGACUCGAAGGCAGGAGAGGGAAGUGGAAUUCCCGGUGUAGUGGUGAAAUUCGUAGAUAUUCGCAAGAACACCAGUGGCGAAGGCGGCUCACUGGCCCGAUACUGACGCUGAGGCACGAAAGCGUGGGGAGCAAACAGG